UAACACGUAGGUAACCUGCCCAUGUGCCCGGGAUAACUGCUGGAAACGGUAGCUAAAACCGGAUAGGUAUGAGGGAGGCAUCUUCCUCAUAUUAAAGCACCUUCGGGUGUGAACAUGGAUGGACCUGCGGCGCAUUAGCUGGUUGGUGAGGUAACGGCCCACCAAGGCGAUGAUGCGUAGCCGACCUGAGAGGGUGAACGGCCACAUUGGGACUGAGACACGGCCCAA
rnacentral:rRNA from 1 species